rnacentral:rRNA from 1 species
UACGAAGGGGGCUAGCGUUGCUCGGAAUUACUGGGCGUAAAGGGCGCGUAGGCGGUCUUUUAAGUCUUGUGUGAAAUCCCUCGGCUCAACUGAGGAACUGCACGGGAUACUGGAAGACUUGAGUUCGGGAGAGGGAAGCGGAAUUUCGGGUGUAGCGGUGAAAUGCGCAGAUAUCAGGAGGAACACCGGUGGCGAAGGCGGGUCUCUGGGCCGAUACUGACGCUGAGGAGCGAAAGCGUGGGGAGCGAACAGG